UACGAAGGGGGCUAGCGUUGUUCGGAAUUACUGGGCGUAAAGCGCGUGUAGGCGGGUCUUUUAAGUCAGGGGUGAAAUGCCAAGGCUCAACCUUGGAACUGCCUUUGAUACUGGAGACCUUGAGUCCGGGAGAGGUGAGUGGAAUUGCGAGUGUAGAGGUGAAAUUCGUAGAUAUUCGCAAGAACACCAGUGGCGAAGGCGGCUCACUGGCCCGGAACUGACGCUGAGACGCGAAAGCGUGGGGAGCGAACAGGA
rnacentral:rRNA from 1 species